rfam:Oryza sativa Japonica Group DNA, chromosome 12, cultivar: Nipponbare, complete sequence.
AAAAAGACAAACCCUGGAUUUCCGUGCCAACGUUUGACUGUCCGUCUUAUAUGAAAUUUUUUUAUAAUUAGUAUUUUCAUUGUUGUUAGAUGAUAAAUCAUGAUUAAUAUUUUAUGCGUGACUUAUCUUUUUUAUAAUUUUUUCAAAUAAAACGAAUGGUCAAAAGUUGGGGAAAUCAGGGUUUGUCUUUUU